rnacentral:rRNA from 1 species
UGCAAGUCGAACGGUGAACACGGAGCUUGCUCUGUGGGAUCAGUGGCGAACGGGUGAGUAACACGUGAGCAACCUGCCCCUGACUCUGGGAUAAGCGCUGGAAACGGCGUCUAAUACUGGAUAUGUGACGUGACCGCAUGGUCUGCGUCUGGAAAGAAUUUCGGUUGGGGAUGGGCUCGCGGCCUAUCAGCUUGUUGGUGAGGUAAUGGCUCACCAAGGCGUCGACGGGUAGCCGGCCUGAGAGGGUGACCGGCCACACUGGGACUGAGACACGGCCCAGACUCCUACGGGAGGCAGCAGUGGGGAAUAUUGCACAAUGGGCGCAAGCCUGAUGCAGCAACGCCGCGUGAGGGACGACGGCCUUCGGGUUGUAAACCUCUUUUAGCAGGGAAGAAGCGAAAGUGACGGUACCUGCAGAAAAAGCGCCGGCUAACUACGUGCCAGCAGCCGCGGUAAUACGUAGGGCGCAAGCGUUAUCCGGAAUUAUUGGGCGUAAAGAGCUCGUAGGCGGUUUGUCGCGUCUGCUGUGAAAUCCGGAGGCUCAACCUCCGGCCUGCAGUGGGUACGGGCAGACUAGAGUGCGGUAGGGGAGAUUGGAAUUCCUGGUGUAGCGGUGGAAUGCGCAGAUAUCAGGAGGAACACCGAUGGCGAAGGCAGAUCUCUGGGCCGUAACUGACGCUGAGGAGCGAAAGGGUGGGGAGCAAACAGGCUUAGAUACCCUGGUAGUCCACCCCGUAAACGUUGGGAACUAGUUGUGGGGUCCAUUCCACGGAUUCCGUGACGCAGCUAACGCAUUAAGUUCCCCGCCUGGGGAGUACGGCCGCAAGGCUAAAACUCAAAGGAAUUGACGGGGACCCGCACAA